GGUUUCGAUCAUACUAGCAUUAAUGCACCGGAUCUUAUCAGAACUCCGAAGUCAAACGUGCUUGGGCGAGAGUAGUACUAAGAUGGGUGACCUCUUGGGAAGUCCUCGUAUUGCACCCC
rfam:Ricinus communis cultivar Hale ctg_1100012362470, whole genome shotgun sequence.